AGAGCGCAGCAAACUGUGUGAAUUAAUGUGAACUGCAACCUGCCAUGAACAUCGACAACUUGAUUGCACAUUGCGGCCAUGGGUUAGCCUGUGGCCACGCCUGUCCGAGAGUC
rnacentral:rRNA from 7 species